AAGACUAUACUUUCAGGGAUCACUUCUAUAGUAGGUAACUAGAGAAGUUUCUCUGAUCGGGUAGAGCACCCGAAGUCAUGAGGAGGAGCCAGAGCAUCCUCUCCUGAGCUUGAAGCCAGCUCUAGGUAUUGCUUCUGCGGCUGCCUUUGGCCAUUGACGAUCGUUCUUCCCUUCCUUUGGAAGGGGUAGAGGGAGAGGAUGCAGUCUGAGUGGU